AGUGGCGAACGGGUGAGUAACACGUGGGCAACCUGCCCAAAAGAGGGGGAUAACACUGGAAACAGGUGCUAAUACCGCAUAACCAUAGUUACCGCAUGGUAACUAUGUAAAAGGUGGCUAUGCUACCGCUUUUGGAUGGGCCCGCGGCGCAUUAGCUAGUUGGUGGGGUAAAGGCUUACCAAGGCAAUGAUGCGUAGCCGAACUGAGAGGUUGAUCGGCCACAUUGGGACUGAGACACGGCCCAAACUCCUACGGAAGGCAGCAG
rnacentral:rRNA from 1 species